CAGUAGCCACGGUAAUACGGAGGGGGCUAGCGUUGUUCGGAAUUACUGGGCGUAAAGCGCACGUAGGCGGCUUUGUAAGUUAGAGGUGAAAGCCUGGAGCUCAACUCCAGAAUUGCCUUUAAGACUGCAUCGCCUGAAUCGCGGAGAGGUGAGUGGAAUUCCGAGUGUAGAGGUGAAAUUCGUAGAUAUUCGGAAGAACACCAGUGGCGAAGGCGGCUCACUGGCUCAUUCUAGACGCUGAGGUGCGAAAGCGUGGGGAGCAAACAGGAUUAGAUACCCGGUAGUCCCUGUCUCUUAUACA
rnacentral:rRNA from 1 species